UCCCUCAUAGCUCAGUCAGUAAAGAAUCUGCCUGCAAUGCAGGAGACCCAGGUUCGAUUCCUGGGUCGGGAA
rfam:TPA: Bos taurus chromosome 12, whole genome shotgun sequence.